rnacentral:rRNA from 1 species
CCUACGGGUGGCUGCAGUGGGGAAUAUUGGACAAUGGGCGAAAGCCUGAUCCAGCCAUGCCGCGUGUGUGAAGAAGGCCUUCGGGUUGUAAAGCACUUUCAGUGGGGAAGAAAGCCUUGGGGCUAAUACCCUCGAGGAAGGACAUCACCCACAGAAGAAGCACCGGCUAACUCCGUGCCAGCAGCCGCGGUAAUACGGAGGGUGCGAGCGUUAAUCGGAAUUACUGGGCGUAAAGCGCGCGUAGGCGGUCUGAUAAGCCGGUUGUGAAAGCCCCGGGCUCAACCUGGGAACGGCAUCCGGAACUGUCAGGCUAGAGUGCAGGAGAGGAAGGUAGAAUUCCCGGUGUAGCGGUGAAAUGCGUAGAGAUCGGGAGGAAUACCAGUGGCGAAGGCGGCCUUCUGGACUGAAACUGACGCUGAGGUGCGAAAGCGUGGGUAGCAAACAGGAUUAGAUACCCCUGUAGUC